rnacentral:rRNA from 1 species
UACGUAGGGGGCAAGCGUUGUCCGGAUUUAUUGGGCGUAAAGCGCGUGUAGGCGGCCAAGCAGGUCCGCUGUGAAAACUCGAGGCUCAACCUCGAGACGUCGGUGGAAACCGUUUGGCUAGAGUCCGGAAGAGGAGAGUGGAAUUCCCGGUGUAGCGGUGAAAUGCGUAGAUAUUGGGAGGAACACCAGAUGCGAAGGCGGGUCACUGGGCUGAUACUGACGCUAAAGCGCGAAAGCCAGGGGAGCGAACGGG